rnacentral:tRNA from 1 species
GCGCCUGUAGCUCAGUUGGAUAGAGUACUUGGCUUCGAACCAAGGGGUCGGGAGUUCGAAUCUUCCCGGGCGCA